rnacentral:rRNA from 1 species
UACGGAGGGUGCGAGCGUUAAUCGGAAUUACUGGGCGUAAAGCGUACGUAGGCUGUUACUUAAGCCAGAUGUGAAAGCCCCGGGCUCAACCUGGGAACUGCAUUUGGAACUGAGUAACUAGAAUGUGUGAGAGGUAAGUGGAAUUUCCAGUGUAGCGGUGAAAUGCGUAGAGAUUGGAAAGAACACCAGUGGCGAAGGCGACUUACUGGCAUAACAUUGACGCUGAGGUACGAAAGCGUGGGUAGCAAACAGG